UGCUGGAGGUAUCAGAAGUGCGAAUGCUGACAUAAGUAACGAUAAAGCGGGUGAAAAGCCCGCUCGCCGGAAGACCAAGGGUUCCUGUCCAACGUUAAUCGGGGCAGGGUGAGUCGACCCCUAAGGCGAGGCCGAAAGGCGUAGUCGAUGGGAAACGGGUUAAUAUUCCCGUACUUGGUGUUACUGCGAAGGGGGGACGGAGAAGGCUAUGUUGGCCGGGCGACGGUUGUCCCGGUUUAAGCGUGUAGGUGUGUGUUCCAGGUAAAUCCGGUUCACUUUAACACUGAGGCGUGACGACGAGGCACUACGGUGCUGAAGCAACAAAUGCCCUGCUUCCAGGAAAAGCCUCUAAGCAUCAGGUAACAUCAAAUCGUACCCCAAACCGACACAGGUGGUCAGGUAGAGAAUACCAAGGCGCUUGAGAGAACUCGGGUGAAGGAACUAGGCAAAAUGGUGCCGUAACUUCGGGAGAAGGCACGCUGACAUGUAGGUGAAGUGAUUUACUCAUGGAGCUGAAGUCAGUCGAAGAUACCAGCUGGCUGCAACUGUUUAUUAAAAACACAGCACUGUGCAAACACGAAAGUGGACGUAUACGGUGUGACGCCUGCCCGGUGCCGGAAGGUUAAUUGAUGGGGUCAGCGCAAGCGAAGCUCCUGAUCGAAGCCCCGGUAAACGGCGGCCGUAACUAUAACGGUCCUAAGGUAGCGAAAUUCCUUGUCGGGUAAGUUCCGACCUGCACGAAUGGCGUAAUGAUGGCCAGGCUGUCUCCACCCGAGACUCAGUGAAAUUGAACUCGCUGUGAAGAUGCAGUGUACCCGCGGCAAGACGGAAAGACCCCGUGAACCUUUACUAUAGCUUGACACUGAACAUUGAGCCUUGAUGUGUAGGAUAGGUGGGAGGCUUUGAAGUGUGGACGCCAGUCUGCAUGGAGCCGACCUUGAAAUACCACCCUUUAAUGUUUGAUGUUCUAACGUGGACCCGUUACCCGGGUUGCGGACAGUGUCUGGUGGGUAGUUUGACUGGGGCGGUCUCCUCCUAAAGAGUAACGGAGGAGCACGAAGGUUGGCUAAUCCUGGUCGGACAUCAGGAGGUUAGUGCAAUGGCAUAAGCCAGCUUGACUGCGAGCGUGACGGCGCGAGCAGGUGCGAAAGCAGGUCAUAGUGAUCCGGUGGUUCUGAAUGGAAGGGCCAUCGCUCAACGGAUAAAAGGUACUCCGGGGAUAACAGGCUGAUACCGCCCAAGAGUUCAUAUCGACGGCGGUGUUUGGCACCUCGAUGUCGGCUCAUCACAUCCUGGGGCUGAAGUAGGUCCCAAGGGUAUGGCUGUUCGCCAUUUAAAGUGGUACGCGAGCUGGGUUUAGAACGUCGUGAGACAGUUCGGUCCCUAUCUGCCGUGGGCGCUGGAGAACUGAGGGGGGCUGCUCCUAGUACGAGAGGACCGGAGUGGACGCAUCACUGGUGUUCGGGUUGUCAUGCCAAUGGCACUGCCCGGUAGCUAAAUGCGGAAGAGAUAAGUGCUGAAAGCAUCUAAGCACGAAACUUGCCCCGAGAUGAGUUCUCCCUGAGACUU
rnacentral:rRNA from 1 species